rnacentral:rRNA from 1 species
UACGAAGGGGGCUAGCGUUGCUCGGAAUUACUGGGCGUAAAGCGCACGUAGGCGGCUCUUUAAGUCGGAGGUGAAAUCCUGGAGCUCAACUCCAGAACUGCCUUCGAUACUGUAGAGCUUGAGUUCGGGAGAGGUGAGUGGAACUGCGAGUGUAGAGGUGAAAUUCGUAGAUAUUAGGAAGAACACCGGUGGCGAAGGCGGCUCCUGGACCGACACUGACGCUGAGGCGCGAAAGCUAGGGGAGCAAACGGG